GAAGAAGUCAAAGCUCUCUCUGCUGCUGCAAACGCUUGUGUUCUCUCCUUCCUGCUGAUAGUUUGACCAAUCAACAUAUAUUUGGAAUGCAACGCCUUACACUUGCCUUCAAAUAAGAACAAGAGAAAUAGAUGGGAAAUAAACCCCAGCAGUUCUGAGACAUCGCAGAGAAGUGAUUGAUUAGAUUCCCUACAGUAUGGAAACAGGCCCUUCGGCCCAACAAGUCCACACCGACGCUCCGACGAGCAAUCCACCCAGACCCAUUCCCCAAUUAACCCCUGACACUAUGGGCAAUUUAGCAUAGCCAGUUCACCUGACCUGCACAUCUUUGGAGUAUGGGAGAAAACCGGUGUACCUGGAGAAAACCCACGAAGACAUGGGGAGAACGUGCAAACUCCACACAGACAGUCGCCCAAGAUUGGAAUCGAA